GACGAACGCUGGCGGCGUGCUUAACACAUGCAAGUCGAACGGAAAGGCCCUGCUUGCAGGGUACUCGAGUGGCGAACGGGUGAGUAACACGUGGGUGAUCUGCCCUGCACUUCGGGAUAAGCCUGGGAAACUGGGUCUAAUACCGGAUAGGAGCCAUUUUUAGUGUGAUGGUUGGAAAGUUUUUUCGGUGUAGGAUGAGCUCGCGGCCUAUCAGCUUGUUGGUGGGGUAAUGGCCUACCAAGGCGGCGACGGGUAGCCGGCCUGAGAGGGUGGACGGCCACAUUGGGACUGAGAUACGGCCCAGACUCCUACGGGAGGCAGCAGUGGGGAAUAUUGCACAAUGGGCGCAAGCCUGAUGCAGCGACGCCGCGUGGGGGAUGACGGCCUUCGGGUUGUAAACUCCUUUCGCUAGGGACGAAGCUUUUUGUGACGGUACCUAGAUAAGAAGCACCGGCUAACUACGUGCCAGCAGCCGCGGUAAUACGUAGGGUGCGAGCGUUGUCCGGAAUUACUGGGCGUAAAGGGCUCGUAGGUGGUUUGUCGCGUCGUCUGUGAAAUUCCGGGGCUUAACUCCGGGCGUGCAGGCGAUACGGGCAUAACUUGAGUACUGUAGGGGUAACUGGAAUUCCUGGUGUAGCGGUGAAAUGCGCAGAUAUCAGGAGGAACACCGAUGGCGAAGGCAGGUUACUGGGCAGUUACUGACGCUGAGGAGCGAAAGCA
rnacentral:rRNA from 1 species